UACGGAAGGCAGCAGUGGGGAAUAUUGCACAAUGGGCGAAAGCCUGAUGCAGCUAUGCCGCGUGUAUGAAGGAGGCCUUAGGGUUGUAAAGUACUUUCAUCGGGGAGGAAAAAACAAAACUAAUAAUUUUAUUUCUUGACGUUACCCGAAAAAGAAGCACCGGCUAACUCCGUGCCAGCAGCCGCGGUAAUACGGAGGGUGCUAGCGUUAAUCAGAAUUACUGGGCGUAAAGAGCACGUAGGUGGUUUUUUUAAGUCAGAUGUGAAAUCCCUGGGCUUAACCUGGAACUGCAUUUUGAAACUGAAAUACUAGAGUAUCGUAGAGGGAGGUAGAAUUCUAGGUGUAGCGGUGAAAUGCGUAGAUAUCUGGAGGAAUACCUGUGGCGAAAGCGGCCUCCUAAACGAAUACUGACACUGAGGUGCGAAAGCGUGGGGAGCGAAACAGGGAUUAGAUACCCGU
rnacentral:rRNA from 1 species